CCGAGUUCUCUGGAACGAGACGCCUUAGAGGGUGAGAGCCCCGUACGGUUGGAUACCAAGCCUUUGUAAAGCUCUUUCGACGAGUCGAGUAGUUUGGGAAUGCUGCUCUAAAUGGGAGGUAAAUUUCUUCUAAAGCUAAAUACCGGCCAGAGACCGAUAGCGCACAAGUAGAGUGAUCGAAAGAUGAAAAGCACUUUGAAAAGAGGGUUAAAUAGCACGUGAAAUUGUUGAAAGGGAAGGAUUUAUGACCAGACUUUUUCUGGGCGGAUCAUCCGGUGUUCUCACCGGUGCACUUCGCUCAGUUUAGGCCAGCAUCGGUUUCUGUAGGGGGAUAAAGGCAGCGGGAAUGUGGCUCCCUCCGGGGAGUGUUAUAGCCCGUUGUGUAAUACCCUUAUGGGGACCGAGGUACGCGCUUCUGCAAGGAUGCUGGCAUAAUGGUUAUUAAUCACCCGUCUUGAAACACGGACCAAGGAGUCGAACAUUUGUGCGAGUGUUUGGGUGUUAAACCCUCACGCGUAAUGAAAGUGAACGGAGGUGAGAGCCCUUACGGGUGCAUCAUCGACCGAUCCUGAAGUUUUCGGAUGGAUUUGAGUAAGAGCAUAACUGUUCGGACCCGAAAGAUGGUGAACUAUGCGUGGA
rnacentral:rRNA from 1 species